GCGCACUCUUCGGAGUGAGCGGCGGACGGGUUAGUAACGCGUGGGAACAUACCCUUUUCUACGGAAUAGCCUCGGGAAACUGAGAGUAAUACCGUAUACGCCCUUCGGGGGAAAGAUUUAUCGGAGAAGGAUUGGCCCGCGUUUGAUUAGAUAGUUGGUGGGGUAAUGGCCUACCAAGUCUACGAUCAAUAGCUGGUUUGAGAGGAUGAUCAGCAACACUGGGACUGAGACACGGCCCAGACUCCUACGGGAGGCAGCAGUGGGGAAUCUUAGACAAUGGGCGCAAGCCUGAUCUAGCCAUGCCGCGUGAGUGACGAAGGCCUUAGGGUCGUAAAGCUCUUUCGCCAGAGAUGAUAAUGACAGUAUCUGGUAAAGAAACCCCGGCUAACUCCGUGCCAGCAGCCGCGGUAAUACGGAGGGGGUUAGCGUUGUUCGGAAUUACUGGGCGUAAAGCGUACGUAGGCGGAUUAGAAAGUAGGGGGUGAAAUCCCAGGGCUCAACCCUGGAACUGCCUCCUAAACUACUAGUCUAGAGUUCGAGAGAGGUGAGUGGAAUUCCAAGUGUAGAGGUGAAAUUCGUAGAUAUUUGGAGGAACACCAGUGGCGAAGGCGGCUCACUGGCUCGAUACUGACGCUGAGGUACGAAAGUGUGGGGAGCAAACAGGAUUAGAUACCCUGGUAGUCCACACCGUAAACGAUGAAUGCCAGACGUCGGGGGGCUUGCCC
rnacentral:rRNA from 1 species